GACGAACGCUGGCGGCGUGCUUAACACAUGCAAGUCGAACGGUAAGGCCCUUCGGGGUACACGAGUGGCGAACGGGUGAGUAACACGUGGGUGAUCUGCCCUGCACUUCGGGAUAAGCCUGGGAAACUGGGUCUAAUACCGGAUAGGACCACUGCCUGCAUGGGUGGGGGUGGAAAGCUUUUGCGGUGUGGGGUGGGCCGGCGGCCUAUCAGCUUGUGGGUGGGGUGAUGGCCUACCAAGGCGACGACGGGUAGCCGGCCUGAGAGGGUGACCGGCCACACUGGGACUGAGAUACGGCCCAGACUCCUACGGGAGGCAGCAGUGGGGAAUAUUGCACAAUGGGCGCAAGCCUGAUGCAGCGACGCCGCGUGAGGGAUGACGGCCUUCGGGUUGUAAACCUCUUUCAGCACCGACGAAGCGCAAGUGACGGUAGGUGCAGAAGAAGGACCGGCCAACUACGUGCCAGCAGCCGCCGUAA
rnacentral:rRNA from 1 species